rnacentral:rRNA from 1 species
AGUGAACGCUGGCGGCGUGCCUAAUACAUGCAAGUCGAACGAUGAAGCUCUAGCUUGCUAGAGUGGAUUAGUGGCGCACGGGUGAGUAAUGCAUAGGUUAUGUGCCCUUUAGUCUAGGAUAGCCAUUGGAAACGAUGAUUAAUACUGGAUACUCCCUACGGGGGAAAGUUUUUCGCUAAAGGAUCAGCCUAUGUCCUAUCAGCUUGUUGGUGAGGUAAUGGCUCACCAAGGCUAUGACGGGUAUCCGGCCUGAGAGGGUGAACGGACACACUGGAACUGAGACACGGUCCAGACUCCUACGGGAGGCAGCAGUAGGGAAUAUUGCUCAAUGGGGGAAACCCUGAAGCAGCAACGCCGCGUGGAGGAUGAAGGUUUUCGGAUUGUAAACUCCUUUUCUAAGAGAAGAUUAUGACGGUAUCUUAGGAAUAAGCACCGGCUAACUCCGUGCCAGCAGCCGCCGUAA